ACUCUUACGGGAGGCAGCAGUGGGGAAUUUUGGACAAUGGGCGAAAGCCUGAUCCAGCAAUGCCGCGUGAGUGAAGAAGGCCUUCGGGUUGUAAAGCUCUUUUGUCAGGGAAGAAACGGUGAAAGCUAAUAUCUUUUGCUAAUGACGGUACCUGAAGAAUAAGCACCGGCUAACUACGUGCCAGCAGCCGCGGUAAUACGUAGGGUGCAAGCGUUAAUCGGAAUUACUGGGCGUAAAGCGUGCGCAGGCGGUUUUGUAAGUCUGAUGUGAAAUCCCCGGGCUCAACCUGGGAAUUGCAUUGGAGACUGCAAGGCUAGAAUCUGGCAGAGGGGGGUAGAAUUCCACGUGUAGCAGUGAAAUGCGUAGAUAUGUGGAGGAACACCGAUGGCGAAGGCAGCCCCCUGGGUCAAGAUUGACGCUCAUGCACGAAAGCGUGGGGAGCAAACAGGAUUAGAUACCCUGGUAGUCCCAUGA
rnacentral:rRNA from 1 species